AGCUCCAAUAGCGUAUAUUAAAGUUGUUGCGGUUAAAAAGCUCGUAGUUGGAUUUCUGUCGAGGAUGGUCGGUCCGCACUUUGUGCGUGCAUCUGAUUCAGCCUUGGCAUCCUCUUGGGGAACGUAUCUGCGCUUAAUUGCGUGGUGCGGAAUUCAAGACUUUUACUUUGAGGAAAUUAGAGUGUUCACGGCAGGCAAUCGCCUUGAAUACAUUAGCAUGGAAUAAUAAUAUAGGACCUUGGUCCCAUUUUGUUGGUUUCUGGAACUAAGGUAAUGAUUAAUAGGGAUAAUUGGGGGCAUUCG
rnacentral:rRNA from 1 species